CUCUGCAGUUUUUUAAUUUAUUCCAAUACACUUCACCUGUCAAACAAACUACGGUCACUUUAUUCCUUUUCACGAUUGAACUUGAUGCCAUUUGUUUUACGGAGAAUGUGUAUUAUUUCACCUGGGGCAACCAACUGAAAUAUGGAUGAACUGCCAAAAUGCUAGCUAAAAUUAAGAACUCAGCAAUUUCGAGUACUUCUAUGUUUCUGUAAACUGAUUUUGGGUGUUAUCUGAUGUUUGUGUUAACUGAAUUGAUGCACUAACUCAACUAAAUUUGUCAACAGAAUCAGACUUAACUGGAUGUUGUUUUUAACUGAAACUUUAGUUUUAACUGAAUUUAUGUGCUACCUCAAAUUAAAAUUAGUGUUAAUUGAAUCCAUGGUGUUUUUUUUCAGGGGGGGGGGGGGGGGGCUUACUUCUGUAAUUUGCAAAAAUAUCUUACGACCGGUUUUGCUACGCCACAAAACGCAGUAAAGUCUUCUUCACCGCACGCACAGGCAGGUAUAUGCUGCUAUCUAUCCUGGUCUUGAUGGUUUCAUAUGAAGUUGUAUAUGCUAGUACAUCUUGGUGUAUAGUGAGUAUGCUAGCACUACAAUACACAGUUUGUUGCAGGAAAUAAAAUUGAUGGCUACAUCGUACCACCUUAUUUUAAACUGAUUAAAGUGUUAAGAAUGACCAUGGACAUUUCCUCCUUGGUAUAAGAAUGCAUUCCCACAACUACAA